rnacentral:lncRNA from 1 species
AUGUCAUCUUUUCACCAAUGGAUUUGCUUAAAAUUUCUCACACAAAGCUACAUUUACUGGAGGAUCUUUCUAUAAAAAAUAAACAGAGGAUGUCAAACUUGGCACAAUUUGACUCUGAUUUUUACCAAUCUAAUUUUACUAUUGAUAACCAGGAGCAGAGUGGUAAUGACUCUAAUGCCUAUGGAAAUCUUUAUGGAUCUAGAAAAACUUGGAAUCCAUUUUGAUCACAUAUGGCAAAAAACUUUGACAGUGUUAAACCCAAUGAAGCCAGUAGAUGGCAGCAUUAUGAAUGAAACGGACCUCACUGGACCCAUUCUUUUUUGCGUAGCCCUGGGAGCCACCUUGCUUCUGGUAAUGUGUCACAGGAAGCACCAGAUUUUAAUGCUUGUCCUUUCCAGUGCUGGCUUUGAAGCAAUCUGUAUAAAUAUAAGAGAAACUGUGUCACCUUACAUAGUGAAUUUUUUAAGUGAGAGAGAAUAAUUUAACCAUAGUGACAAAAAUAUGCUACCAUUAUGCAUUGCAACAGCUAAAAAGUAUAAAUUUAAAUAGAAUUUCAAAAAUCAAGAAGCAGAUCAAAGCAGGA